CGAUCUGAUGAGAACGAUUCUUGGCCGGACAUAUAUCAUGCCAUGAUCCAUCGCUAUAUUUUGUUUGAACAACCAAGGUGAUCCAUCGCUUCCAAUAAGGUAUUCUGAUGCUGCAUUCCCGUUACUUCUUAUAUCCUUUUUACUAUCCCUUUAACAAAAAUAAAGUUUCCAUCCACUUUUAUGUAGGCGAGAGCCAGGGGAAGAGGUAGGCUUAAAACUCUUAACGGUUGCAUUUGAGAAGAUAUUCCUGUUUCUGCAGUAAUGGUUUGUUUGCAAUUUCAUUUGCUUGGCCUGUGAGAUGCAUGUUCUCUGUUUUCAUAAAUAUUUCGUUGGUAGCUCAAAUUGUUUAGCUUGAUUUGUAUGGUAGUCGCAUCUUUAAGCUAACUUGGUUUCUCUUACUGAAAUAACCACGCUGAUUUAUUACUCUAACAAGUCUCACGGAGAUAUAAUUCUUAUGUGCCAUCGGGUUGCUUUUCUUUUAUAUAGUUUUUAGUGUGUCAUAAACGAUUUUAAAUUCAUAAAUAAUGAGUUCAAUGAAGUGUUCUGCAUCCAUUCCCGUUACAAGCUUUUAUUUUUCAUAUGUGAAAUUUCUUUCUUCUUAUUUACCAAAACAAAAAAAGGGAAUUUUCUUCUUCCGAAACUGUAAGUUUUAGUGCUGAUAUAUAUUAGAUAGAGAAAGACUCUUCUGUAAAUAUAUCCUUAUGAAGGAUACAUAACUUUCUUGCCAAGGAAGAUCCUGCCUAUGUGCAAUAUAAUGUAAAUGAAAAGUAAGAAAACUAUUACAUAAUUAGGCAGAGGUACAUUGUCUUUUAUGGUUUCUUUUGUGAGUAUAUUUCAUGAAAUAUAUAUAUUAACAAAGAGAAGAUGAGAACUUUGUAUCACAUAUCCAUUUGUAAGCUACAGGUUUUGUAUAGAAAAUUCUUUAUCUUACAAAAUAGUGUUUCUUCUUUGUUGAAGGUUCCAUGUGAACACUAAGGCCCCGAGUUUGUCUAUGCAGUAAUGUAGAAGCAACUCCAAAGAUAUUCUCCUCUCUCCCUCUAAGCAAAGGUAGUAAUUUUUCAUAUGUAUUACUUUGAUUUCUUUGUUUUAAAUGUACGAAAAACUCAUGUAUUAUGUUUCAUAUUUGCAUUUUGUGAUACCUUUCUUGACUAUGCAGUAGACAGAACUGGUGCAGAAUUUCACCUCUGUUAUGUUAUUAAAGGUUGCAAAAGAUGUAAUCUACAUGAGGCAAUUACAAAGAAGCAAUAAGACAUGCUCAUGUUUUUUACAUAUUAGGAGCUCCUGGUAUGUACCAGCUCAGAGUAACCUUUGUUGCAUACACAUGGCAAGUUUAAGUAUGAGCCUGGUUAUACAUUGUGAUUGUUAAGGUAGUUUUUAUAAAAAAAGAUUUAUAAUUAUUCCAGGUCACAGACAUGCUUGGUCAUAGCCUCUAGGAUGUUUGGAACGACUCAAUCGUAAGCAAUUUGAUCAUGAUUUUUGUUCAAACCAUACCUCCUCAUGCAGGUAUUCUAAAUUUAUUAUCAUGUGUAGUCUUUUUCAACUUAUUUGCUCUCUUUUAUCUCUGCCACGUUUUGUGAAAUAUUUGUACUCUUAUUAAAAUAUAUAAUCAUUUAUUUCAGCAUCAAGAUGGAAAGAUUCAAACUCUGGCCAGCAUGUUGAAUAUGGUCGAAGAUGGGAUGUCUUCAGAGGAAUAAUAAGGUAUGCAAGAUGUCGCACAUCUAGGUUGUGCCAGAAGCCGGAGGGAUGAUCUAGAGUCGUCUGAUGUAUACAUUAAUAUUUCUGAUGCUGGGAACUUGGGAAGGUUGUCAUGGCAGAGUAUCAGGUGAGUUUUCUAUCGCUGUAUUCACAACCUAAACUCCUUUAAGUUUCUCCUCGAUGAUAUAUGAUCAUUAUAUGAAUGGUUAUAACAAUAGCUUGCUUGGGUUUACACCACAAAUGGGACACAAUUCGGAGACGAGUGUUUUCAGUCAAAUAUAAACCGUCAUGUAUAGAUACUACGCUAAGUUUAAUCACCUUCCAUCAUUUACCAUAUUUGGCGUUUGGUGGUCUUUUUAGCACCCUUUAGCCCAAAUCUACUAUGCCUAGAUACUAAAGCAAGCAAGAUAUCCAAAUUUAUCGAUGUGUGUUUCCUAUGUUGUUUGACUACAUCCAUUUGAUAGAUUUUUUUUGGCUGACUACUCAUUGGCCACAUGUAAAGAACAUGCGGGGAGUGUACUUUCGAUAUACGUAACUCUGCUGACACAAGGUAAUAUUUCUCUACGUUAAUCAAUACAAUUUUUUGUUUUUACCUUCUUAUCAUCUGACCUCCAUUUUUAACAUUUUCAGAAAUUAACAUUCACGUUUCUACAAUUGUAACUAAGUAACUUUGGUUUGGUUCCAUUUUCCUUAGUUUUGGUUUGCUCAUAUUGGAUUAAAAAUAUUCAAUGAAUACUGACUUUAAUUAUUAUUACAAUAUAUUAUUAUUAUAAAUUACAUACUUUUAAAAGGAUAACAUUUAUUCAUUUUGUUUUGGUUGAACUAAAGUUGAUUUGGUCUGUUUAGUAUUUGUCUAUCCUUUUUUCUUUUAAAUAUUGUUUACUUUUGUAUUUAUCGAAUAGGUUAUUUUUGGUUUAUAUACCUUUUUAUAGUAAUUUUUGGUUUAUACUUUAUAUACAUGUCACUUUGUUGUACUCCACUGCGUUCCAAUAUUGAUAGUAUGAAACUAAUCUUUAAUCCAAUUGUUUUCUCAGGAUGAUAAAAUCUUUUGCAGAUGAUAAAAUCUUCUGCGGCUUAGGAAUGCGAAAUAAUAUUGGGCACAACAAGGUCAACGUGGAAAAGAGAUGUUCGAACCAUUGAAAUUUGGAAAUUUUUUACUUUCUUACAAACAGGAAGCAACAUUUAGGGCUUAGACAAAGGCUUCAUGUAAUUUUGGAAGCAGUGGUAAGAAAGAGAACAAUAUGUUAUUUCAUUAUAUUUUUGUAUAGUGUCAAGUUGAAGCUUGUGCUAACCAAUCUGUGAAAUUAUUAUAGUAAGUAAUCUAUGAAAUUACAAUAUAUAACCUCUUAACUCAAUUUGAUCUACAUGAAGUAGAAUAAAAAGUAACACUACAUUAAUCUACAUGAGAGUUAUGGAGUUCAAGAUAGACAGAAAAAAAAACAACUUCAAUCUACUUUUCUCAUAUUUUUUUCUUAGUCGUGAUAUUAGUUUUUCAUAAAAUAUCAUAAUAGUUUACGAUAAAUUUUUGUGUUUUGACCAAAUCUACAUUAUCUAUGUAUUUGAAUAUUAUGGAAAUUAUGAUUUUUUUUAUAAAUUUAAUAAAAUUAAAAAAAGUUCUCCUAAUUGUAAAAACUGUCAAAUCACAUUAAUUAAUUUUUGUUAUAUUCAUUUUUAUUCACUUAAUUUUUAGAUGUAUAGUGAAUUUUUCUUCAAAAGAUAAAGAAUCAGAAAUCAAAUAAAUUAGUGAGUAUUAUAUAUGACUAAAGAAAAAAAGGAAUCAACUAAUUUUAAAAACUACAGAAAAUUAAAUAAAAUUCAUCUAUCAGUUGUCCCAGACGAAUUUUUGCAGGUUUUAACAGAUUUUUAAAUAACAGGUUUUAGAAGAAGAAAAAAUUGGAUUGCAUAUCCAAUAACCAAAUUAUUGGUUCGAUCACGGAUACACGUCAAAUUUAAAGUCACUGAAAUAAAACACCCACUUUACCCAAUUUAAAGUCACUUAAAUUAAAAUCUAAGUUUCCUUAAAAUUUAAAUGCUGUAAUCUUAAGUGAAUAUAUAAAUUUACAAAUUUUAAAGGUUAACAACAAUUUCAUGACAUAUAAAAGUUUCUGACUUAUAAACCUAUGUUAAACGGGGCAGUUUUUUUUUUUAGGUCUGAGGCUACAAGGAAUUUAAUUAUAGGACUUAUUUGUGAAAUAACCAAAAAAGAGAAAAUUAGAUUUUUAGAGAGGGAAGAGAGAGAUAGGAAGAGAAUGGAGGAGAGAGGGUAAGAUUUUGGUUAAAUAGUGAAUUAUGGUUUUUUUGGUGUUAUUAAACCCAAUUUCCCUUAGUUAUAUUUACGCUCAAGUAGUCAAGUUGGUUAACUUUAUAAAAACAUUUCUAUGAGUUUUUAGUAAGAGUUAAUAUUGGCUUAUAUACUAAUAGUUUUUGUUUACAAAAUUUUAAUUUUCUUAAACCUAUUAGAUUUAGUAAAUAACGCUGAAAUAUUUUAAUGUAAUCAAACCUAAAAUAUUAUGAGCAAAUAUUGCAUCAUGGACAAAAACGAGCCUUUAUCAAUAACAAAAUCAUGAAUAGUCUGCUAAAUUUUUACAUUUCUCAGACAUUUAUCUCAAACACAACCUUCAAAGUCUUUUUCCUCUUCUUUACUCUCACUGAAUACAAAUAACUAAAACAAAUUACAAACUGAUAAAACUAUUCACUUUUACAAAACGAAAUUGGAGGCGAAACAAAAUACUUAGCGAAUCUCUCAAAUGGUUCCUAACUUUAAUAAAGAACUCAGACAUGUGAACAUAGUCUUGGAUGUUAUAACUUUUGCAUUAUCUCAAGAUAGAGGAAAAAUAAUUGUUUACCUAGAACAUCCAUCGAACACUAUCAUGGGCAAAAACCCGGGCGUAGCCCGGGAAAAAACUCUAGUAAAAAUAAAAGCAAAAUAAAAAGUCCAUGCUCUCAACCGGCUCGUAACCCAAAACGUCACAGACUCCGCAACAAUGGCAGAGAAACGCAUUAGCAAGAAAGAAACUCUUUGUAAUACCAGCGAUGUUUGUUCAUCCAAUUCACUCCAAACAUGAAAAAUUAUUAGAAAAAAAAACUGCUCUAGACAAGAAGCACAUGAGAGAUAAACAGUGGCGAAGCUAGA